rnacentral:lncRNA from 1 species
GGGCCAUAGUUUGCACACAUGUUGCUAUAAUUGCUCCAACGGAACGGGAACAUAACUAUCUUAAUAGAAAAGUUAUCUUUCUAAAAAUGUCCAAAUUGUAACACUUGUUAUAUAACACUACUUACUUGUAAUAUUAUAUUAUGUACUAUAUGCUGCCAAUAAUCAAUUUAUAAAAAUAAUGUAUUAUCACAUAAUAUAUUAUAUUGCAAAUAUCAUAAAAAUUUGUAGUAUUUGUUGAUAUUUGUGUUGAAAAAACUUUGACUAACAAAAUAAAGAAUAAGUAAAAAAUUACAAUCUUUUAGGCGUGUGAUCCAGACUUAAAAAUUUUAAACAUCGAUGCUAGAUGGGGAGGUGCAACACAUGAUGCUUCAUAUGGAGAAACUCAAAUGUAAAACUUUUUUGCAGCAGAUCGUUUAAAAUAGAGAUCAAAACAUUUUCCAUUUCUAUUCUGGCAAAGAUUACUUUCACUUCUUAGUUAUCUUUGCUGGAAGUCUUGGUAUGAAACAAUGUUAAGACAAUACUGUGUGCUUUUUCAGUCCUAUGAAAGAAAAUAUUUUGGAUGUAACAGAGAAGUACUACAACUUUGUUAUGAAGAUUUGUCUUUAUGUUAUUUUUAUAAUGUGCAUGGAUUAUAUUUGUUUUUAUGUUUUCUUCAGUUUAAAUAAAGUUUAUGUUUGACCCAUUAUUGAUUUUUAUUUCAACCUGAAAAUUAUAAUGAUAAUAGUAAGAGGAUUCUGAGGUUUUUCUGCAGAAACAAUGCAUUUUUUGAGAAAAAAUAUUUCACAAAAAUGAAGGUUAACA